GCCCCGAUGGCGGAAUUGGCAGACGCGCAGCGUUCAGGUCGCUGUGAGAGCAAUCUCGUGCAGGUUCGACUCCUGUUCGGGGCAUCA
rnacentral:tRNA from 2 species